AAGGCAAAGUCGAUCGAGAAAUCUCUGGAGAGGAGUCUGACUGGAUUCCACAAUUCCGUAGCUGUGAAGACUUCAAAAGUAUGACACUGCAAUCACUGGAUGGCUUUAUGAUAAUACUGAGCACAGAUGGAGUGAUAAUUUUCGUUGGUGAAAAUAUCUCUUCCCUCCUUGGCCACUUACCAUUGAAAUCCUAUCAGACGUCCAAGUUGAGUUAUCUAUGAGUUCAGGGAGAAGUCUGGACUGGAGGUGGAAGUUGGGAAUCUUCUGAUCAUUAUGAAAAGAGGGACAUUUCAUGAUGAUCAAGGAGUCAACCAAGGAAACAGGAUAAUCCUAAAUGGGUAUACACCUAAUCACAACACU